rnacentral:sRNA from 1 species
CUUUUUGCUACACCCUCACGACUAAUGACAACACUUAAUUCCCUUAAGCACUCUCAUUAGCCGCGCGAGUCCCUGUAGCGGAAGAGGUUAAAAUUUCAGAAACAGAACUUAAGUUUUUAACGUCCCGCUUCCCGCUUCGCUUCCUAGAAGAAAAGGGGCCCUAUUAGGCCCCUUUUC